CCCAGCCUGGAGCUCCAGACCCAGGGCCCUUCCCAGUCCCUCUCACCCGGGAAGGGCCUCCAUCCCUGGGCCUAAUCUCAACCAAUACCCAGCCUACCAAUCCUCCAGCCUGGAGCUCCAAGAUGGCAUUUUGCUAUUUAGGAGGAUUUGCCCAUGAACCAAGAUGGCAAUGGUCUUCACAAAACUCAGUUCCUAUAAAACUGUGGAAGGGUUUUUUUGGUGUAAGGCCCCAGGAUCCCUCCAGACCCUUGUAUCUUCCUGGGCUACCCCUGUUAAAUCCAUAUCCACCCCAUGCUGGGGACAAAUCCUAUUCAAAUGGAUACCUGGAUGGCAAGUCAAAGUACUCUGCCAUUUAGGACCCCCUGGCAAUGGUAGCCCCGGGCAAAACCAUGCCAUCUUGGAUCACCCACGCCACCCUGGACCCCCAUAUGGCACAUAUCCUAUUAACAAAGAUACACAGAUGGCAAGUACCCUGCCACUGCGGAUGUCUCAAAAAUGACAGGUCCUUCAGGGCUUGCCAUUUAGAAUCAUUGACAGAUUAUCCAAAAUGACAGGUCCUUCAGGGCUUGCUAUUUAGAAUAAUUGACAGAUGAUCCAAGAUGGCUUAAGAUUUGUUUGCCCCUGCUUUUGAGGGAGGGAAACCCUAUAGCAAGCACCUGCUUUUCAAGGUGGGAAGCCCCAUAGCAAGCACCUGCUUUUCAGGGUGGGAAACCCCAUAGCAAGCACGUACUAUAAAAAAGGUCACCACAUGGAGCAAUGUGAGGAAAAAAGUAACCCUGGAUGCUUUGAGGGCCCUCAGGGCUACCAACCCCAGCUCGCCAGUCAUUUCAACCCUGGACCUUGGCCAGGAUGAGAAUCCGGAGGGGGUGCCUGACCCCGAGUCUGACCCAACUCCCACCUGCUCAUCAUGCUCCAAAUUGGUAAAACAAAAUAGGGAGCUUUUGAAGCAGCUGAGGACCAAGGAGCGUUGGAUCCAGAAGGCCAAGGCAAAAAUCCACGCUUUUGAGCAGCAGGCCCUCCAAAAGACGAGCGGUGGGGAGUCUGGAGAGUCAGAGCCGGGGCCAUCUGGAGCAAAUCUCCCAGAAGAUGAGGAGGAUGAGAACUCAUCUUCUGAGGACCAGCCAAAGACAAAAAAAGGGAAAUCUAGCGGCCUUCUCAAGAGAUACAAAGAUUUUCCUGCACCUAUCCUUCAGUACAUGGAAGAGUAUUGGGUGUACUUUAGCGGGUCCAUUGCAACUAAAAAACAUUUGGAGAACCAGAGGUCCAAAUUGGGAAGAGUACUGUCCUUCCUGCGGUUCCUUACUAAGGGAAGUACAGCACUUUCCAAUUGGACAUUUCUAGAGAACAUCAGCAGAGUUCACCAGUGGCUAGAACAGCUCCUCACAGAGGGAAAGGCGGAGAACACUGCCAAAAACUACCUCUUGAAUGUGGUGGAGUUUGGUGGCGUUUCCAUGAAGAAUUUAACAAACACCUCGCGCCUCCCCAAAAAGGCCUUAGUUGGUUUAAAAAGGGCCAUAAUAGAUGACAUCAAAAAGCUGAAGAAACCGGUCUCCCUUCGCCAGAUCUUGGUCAAGAAACGCAAGAUCAGAAGGGUGAUUCCGAUCUUGCGGACCUGCGGAAAUGUCAGAGGCAGGCGGCCAGGAAAAUCCCAAAACUGCUCGACAAUAUCCAGACUGACCCCAGUGCUAUCAACAUACGCCGGUUCUAUGGCUACUUUAGUGUAUACAUUUCAAGUAUAUAUGGCCAUAGAACCGGCGUAUUAACAAACAUGACAAUGCCUGAAGUGGAGGAGGCACAGGUUGACGCCAAGUCUGCAGAUCAGGGAUUUGUCAUAAACGCGAAGGAGCACAAGACAAAUAGGGCUUUUGGGCCGGCCCAAGUAUACCUGACCAUGGAGGAGUUUGGAUGGCUGGAGAUGUGGCUCCAAAUAAGGGCAAAUAUUAAUCCAUCCAGUGACCUAGUUUUCUUUAACGAAAACU